AAUCAACGCUGGCGGCGUGCCUAACACAUGCAAGUCGAACGCGAAAGGGCUUCGGCCCUGAGUAGAGUGGCGUCCGGGUGAGUAACGCGUGGGUAAUCUACCCUCGGGUGGGAAUAACCAAUCGAAAGAUUGGCUAAUACCGCAUAAUGCAGCGGCUCGACAUCGAGACAGUUGUUAAAGCCUCUUCGCAAGAAGGGGCGCCUGAGGAGGAGCCUGCGUCUGAUAGCUUGUUGGCGGGGUAACGGCCCACCAAGGCUACGAUCAGUAGCUGGUCUGAGAGGACGGCCAGCCACAAUGGCACUAG
rnacentral:rRNA from 1 species